rnacentral:piRNA from 1 species
UGCACCAUUGCACUCCAGCCUGGGCAA